CAGCCGCCGCGGUAAUACGGAGGAGGCAAGCGUUAUCCGGAAUUAUUGGGCGUAAAGCGUCCGUAGGUGGCGAUUCGUGUCAGUUGUCAAAGAGUGCGGCUUAACCGCAUAGGGGCGAUUGAAACUGGGUUGCUAGAGUGCGAUAGGGGCAAGGGGAAUUCCCAGUGUAGCGGUGAAAUGCGUAGAUAUUGGGAAGAACACCGGUGGCGAAAGCGCCUUGCUGGGUCUGCACUGACACUGAGGGACGAAAGCUAGGGGAGCGAAAGGG
rnacentral:rRNA from 1 species